CAGUAGCCGCGGGAAUACAGAGGGUGCGAGCGUUAAUCGGAUUUACUGGGCGUAAAGCGUGCGUAGGCGGCUUCUUAAGUCGGAUGUGAAAUCCCUGAGCUUAACUUAGGAAUUGCAUUCGAUACUGGGAAGCUAGAGUAUGGGAGAGGAUGGUAGAAUUCCAGGUGUAGCGGUGAAAUUCGUAGAGAUCUGGAGGAAUACCGAUGGCGAAGGCAGCCAUCUGGCCUAAUACUGACGCUGAGGUACGAAAGCAUGGGGAGCAAACAGGAUUAGAUACCCCCGUAGUCCCUGUCUCUUAUAC
rnacentral:rRNA from 1 species